GCCGCUAUAGGGCGGCGCUGGGGCGGCCCGGGGGCCCACGGCUCCUCGUCGCGUGUCAUCGACACGUGUCCUCGCCGCCGCCGCCGCCGCCGCCGCGGAGCCGCGCUCUGUUCCCGUCUCGCCUGUCACCGGUCCGUCACCGAGCCCGCGCCGACCCGGGCACUCUGUCGGAUGCCAGUUGGGACGUGUUUCCUCUCCCACACCAGCCUCACGGUCUGUGAGGAAGGAGGCAGGAGCGGAGAAAUGAAGUGACUAGCUAGCCCAACCCAGGGCGUGGCAGCAGGCAAGUGGCAGAGCUGGGAGGAGAACUGCGGUCUCCCGAACGGCCCUCUUCUUCCCUCGAGGUUACAGCCGGGCACCUCUUGAGGUGAGGGUUCUGUCACA